UACGUAGGGCGCAAGCGUUGUCCGGAAUUAUUGGGCGUAAAGAGCUCGUAGGCGGUUUGUCGCGUCUGCCGUGAAAGUCCGGGGCUCAACUCCGGAUCUGCGGUGGGUACGGGCAGACUAGAGGUGAUGUAGGGGAGACUGGAAUUCCUGGUGUAGCGGUGGAAUGCGCAGAUAUCAGGAGGAACACCGAUGGCGAAGGCAGGUCUCUGGGCCACUACUGACGCUGAGAAGCGAAAGCAUGGGGAGCGAACAGG
rnacentral:rRNA from 1 species